UAGCAUUGGAAGCCAGAAGGAACUUUCUUUGAGCAAACAUUGAGGAGCAAGCUAAGAGAAACUGGAAUGUCAAGGUUGAUGCCUAAGAUGUUAGCUUUGAUAGCGGUGCAAAGGCAAACAGCAGCUUCAAGAUCGACGAGGCCAUCGAGAAGGGAACAGCAUGGCAUCACUGGGGGUGAACCAAUGACGGGCUUGACUAGGCCAAGCACAUUAGCACAUACACCUAAUUUAAGGGCAUCUCUAGGGCACUUGCCCUGUGAAGAUGGAGUGCUGGGGUUGGGGUUUGGCUUUGGUUUAUGGUUAGGUUUGGUGGGAGGGCAUGGGGCAGUAGCACUGACCAAGGAAAAGAAGAGAAUGUUGAGUGCCAAAAGGAGGGCCAUGGAAGCUGAUUGUUUUGACGCCAUUUUGAUGUUAGUGGCCUGCUUUCUUGGCUUAGAGCUAAAAGUAGAAGUGUUUGGGGAUGUGGGAGUUGGAGUGAAUGGGACGGGGGUUUUAUAGUGGCUACAAGGAACUAGUGAGUUAUUUUUUUAAUGUUGGGUUAAUUGAUGAAAUUGUAGAAUAAAAUCAAAUUAAGGUGGCCGCGAAGUUUGGAUGUUUGUGAUUUGUGAGGUGGAAAUUAGAACAUUGCCAUGUUACCACUGCUCCGAUAGGAUAAAUUAUAUGAUUUGAUCAUCUCAAAAAACUUCCGCGAUAAAAUAUAAUAGUAAGUUCCAAAAAUAAAUUAUAAUAUUAAAAAAAAAAACAGUUCUGAUUAGUAGAUACAGCUCGACAAAUCAAAUUGUGACAUUAUUAACCAAUGAAAUUUGCGUUUCAUCAUGGUUGUGUUUUUCUUAAUGUUAAUUAAUUAAGUACAAUUGGCAGCUCUCAUAAUUAAGGUUGAUUGAAGAUUUUGUGUUUGUAAUUCAAAAAUGUGCUGACGGCUUUGAAUUGAUGCUCUCAUAAUUAAAGUCGUGACAUUCACAUUGAAUCAUGAUAUUAUGGUCUCGAGGAGAUAAAAAUACACUAUAAUUUAUAAUAAUUAUUUUUUACUUUAAAAAAUAAUAAUUCAACCAUAAUUUUCUAAUUUUAUUGUUCAUUGUAUAAGCUUGGAUCUUUAAAUUACGUUAACUAAUCAAAAUUUCAUUGAAUCAAAGUUGGUUUUUUCUUUUUUUUACGUUAAUAGAGUAGAAUUAUAUAGGCUGAGUUGAAGAUGACAGCUCUCAAGAAUCAAGACCCUGUAUCAAUUAAAGCUGUUUCAACAUUUUGUAUUUUCAAUUUAAUUGCAAUAAUAAUCCCUUGUACGAAAUUAAGUAAACACAUUGUAAUUAUUGUGACAUUAUUUCAGGCAACAAUAAUGGGUUCACGGGUUUGGAUUGCUUGAUAGUGGCUUAAGAAAAUUCAAUAGGGUGCCACCCCAAAUAUAUAUAAUUUAUUCAUUUCUCUAACCCUACCCACCAUUAAUAUUUUAAUGAUUCUAUUAGUAUAAAUUAUAUAUGUUGAAGUUUCAGCAAAUUAAAGAUAUUUAAUGAUUUGUAUUAUGACACCAGACUUGAGUGGGUUUAGAUGGGCGUUAAGUGCAAUGCAUUUAGUUUACUUUUUAUCUCACGUUACAGUAUCUAAUCUUGCCGUCAUCUUAUUUUUACACUAACAACAGGUAAACGCAUCACCAUCUAAACCCACCCUUAAUUUUCCUUUUUUUGAUAACAACAUAAAAAAUUAUCAAUUUUCAAUUUUGAUGAUCUCCUUUUAUUUUUAUUUUGCUAAGGGAAUCAAUUUUAUUGAAACAAGGUACAACAAAGAGAAUACCAUACAAAAGUUAAGUAGCCAAAGAAACACAACAUAAGAGAACCAAAACUCACCUAAAGCAAAGAGAUCAACUUAAAAGCACUUAGCUUUCAGCACUUUAAACAUCUAAACCACACCCACUCCCUUGCCAAUAAAUGUGAAAUUGAUGUGAGACAUCAUUCCUAAGUCAAAAUAGAACACCACCACAUCCUCAAUGCGUCAUUCCGUAAAGCCAUUAAAAUACAAUCGAUCACCAAAAAUCACAGAAACAAUCUACUAAAACAGAAUUGCUGAAGGCCAUGUUGGGGCAAGUCACCAAAUCCGACUGACUCCUCGCCCAUCUAUUCCAUCCAUUCGACAGUUACGUAUAGCUGAAGAAUACGAGUAAAGUACGAGGUAAUUAAAUUAUUACUAGUUUUAAAUAAAAGAUAAAUGCAUGUUCCUGAUUAGAGAUUUCACCUCAUUAAUGAUCAAGUCUGGAAAGCAGCUAAUCAUCAAUUAUUUUAUGGAUAUAUAAACUAAUUUUCCACAACACUCACUUCUCAUAAUUGAAGUUAAAAGAAGUAAAGAACAUAUGUUUUUGGAAUGCUCGUACUAUUGCUUAUUUUUUUUAUUUAAUAUAGUAUUUUUAUUAUUUUCUUAAAAAAUAAAUAUAUUAUUCAGGCUUUUUAUUUUUAGAUUAUAACAAUUUAAGCAGAAUUAACUAGUCAAAACUUGGUUUUGUUUAAUGUUAAUUAAGUAGAAUGAUAUAUAGGUUAAGUUGAAUGAAGAUCCUGUAUUAAUUAAAUCAUCAAUUUAAUUGCAUUUAUAAUCCAAAUACAUGUUAGUCCUCAAUAAUGGGUUCACGGGUUUGAUUUGCUUCAUAAGACUGACGUCGCACCAAACUUUCCCAAUUCACAUUCAAUUUUGGCAUAUCAUUUUAAAAAACACUCCAAAUUUACAUGAUUUAAAUGUUAAAUUUGUUAUUCACAUCAAGCCACACAUGUGCUUUAGUAAAAAAGAAAGAAAGUGUUUCUUGGAGAAAAAAAUAAAAAUUCAGGUAUUAAAUUGAACAUUAAAGUCAAAUAUGGGUAAUUAAUUGGGACAAAAAACUCAAGUAUUAAAUUGAAAAAAUUUCAAGUACCAAAUUAAACAUUAAAACCAACCUCAAGUACCUAAUAGUAUAUUAACCGCUUUAAAUAUACUAAUAGUCUUUGUACUCUUACCAAGUUGUACUUACAAUGAUUUGAAAGUUUUGGUUCAAUUGAUAACACUACAAAAAUUUGUUCCUAAAAGGUAGAAUAACUUUUUUAGUCCUUAAUAUUUAUAGAUAUUGUCAACUUGACCUUUACUCUUUAAAAAUAUAUAAAAAUCUAGAAAGCUCGAAAAUUUUUAAAAGAUUUUCAUACCUUCAAUAAAAGAAAUCAUAGAAAUUAUAAAUUUUUAAUAAAUUUCAAAAAUUACAAAAAAUGAGAAGUCUUUAAAAUUAACAAAAGAAAUAUGAGAAAUAGAAAGAAUUAAUAACUAUAUUUGUAAGGAAAUUGAGCAGUGCUAGAAGCAAAUGCUAUGAGCAAUGCUCUAUCUCAACACCAGAUGCCUUAUCUAAAGAAUAAUCCUCUACUUCAACACCUCGUACAACAAGUGAUUAUAAACAUUAACAAUCACCAGAUUAGUAAUUUCACUUUUGUACUUAAGAUCUCUCCUUUGAAAACUUAGGCUAAAAACCAAGUAUUAGUUCACUUGUUUUCACACUCAAUAUGUAACAGCCCAAUUUUCGAUAGUGUCAAAACAGUAAUUUGAGAUCACUAAAUCCGAUGAAAAAUUUAGAAAAUUUAUUAAUUAAUAAUUAUAAGUUAAGCGUGAUUUUAGAAUUAUUUCUAAAAUUAGUGAAUUUUGUAAUUUAAAAGAAAUUAUUAGGUAAAUUGGGUCAAAAACGAGGUAUUGAGACCUCGAUAUUAUAAACUGAGUCAUAAAUAUUUUUAUAAAUAUUUACGGAAUGUCAUUAAGGUAGUAUUAAAGUUUCGUUAAGAAAAUUUAAUGUUCCGAUGGUUAAUUGAUUAAAAAUAUCGAAUAAUAAAAAAAAGAGUAUUCCUGGGAAUUUGUUCCAAUAAAUCGGACUCGUAAAUAUUUAUUAAAAAUAUUUACGAAGUUAGUUGUACAGUUAAUUAAGUUUUAAUUAAGUGAAUUAAAAUAUGAAAAAGUGUGAAUACAUGAAUCGAAGUAUGAUUACAUGUGAAUGUCGGGAAUAUCUAUUAGUAGAUUAGAAAGUGGAAAGUAAAUUUGAAUUGAAAUGUGAUUAUUGAAUAGAAAUUGAAAUGGUUUGAAUUGAAUUAUUGAAUUGAACUGGAAUAUUGAAAUUGGUGAUUGAUAUGGAUUUUAUUAGAAUUGAAAUUGAGAAUGUGGAGAUUGAUAUGUGAAACUGAUACUGAACUGAAUUAUGGAAUACUUAAUAUUGUUAUGUGUACUGCAUUGAACUGUGAAAAUACUGAAGCAAUGAAUUACUGCAAUACUGUGAAACUGAUUGGAAUAAUGAAUUUAUAAUUGAUACUGAACUAAUAUGGAAAUUUUACUGGAAAGUAAAUUAAAUACCCUAUUAACUAGUCGGGCUAGUCGGAUAUAGUUGGCAUGCCAUAGGAUAUGGAAGAGUACGGGUUAUUGCCGGCUUACUGAUUAGGCACUUAUGUGCCGACUACUGUUACUGUUACUGUUACUGAUUCGAUACUUUGUGUGUCGAAUAUUGUUACUGUUACUGUUACAGAUUCAGCACUUUGUGUGUUGAAUACUGUUACUGUUACUGUUACUGCUACCGUUACUGUUUACUGAUCAGGUACUAUGUACCGUAUUAGGCACUAUGUGCCGUAUUGGUGUGAUUGGUUGGAAUCCGUGUAUCCGUCAAAGUCCGAGUCAAGUUAAUAGGGGUAAAUGAAUAAUUUUGAUAAUAUAAAUUUUAUUGCAUGAUCUUGAAUACGAAUUGAAAUAAGACAUUAAAUUGAGGUAUUGAAAUGAAAUGAAUGAACCAUGGGUUCAAGAAAUAGAUAAUGAUAUAGUUCAUGAAAGUUUUGGUAGUAUGAGAUGAUGUAAAAAUAUAAGCAAAGAGAAGCAAACUGAAAUAGCCAUUGUUGAGAAAUGAGAAAUGAAAAAAUGAAAAUAAAAUGAUUUGAAAUAGUGAAAUAAUAUGUGAAUUUAAUUGAAUACAAGUUAUUGAAAUUUAUUUAUGGAUUUAAUGUAUAAAUUGGGUGUUAGAAGAUUAUAAGUGUAAAUUGAUUAUAAAUGAACGAAUCGAACUGAAAAAUAGUUGUUAUUAUUAUUGUUGUUGAAACAAGUUGAUUUAAUAUAUUAAAUGUUUAUUAAAAGAUUAAAAGUAUAAAUUGAAUAUAAAUAGAAAUGAUAAUGAAUGAGUUGAUAAAAUGAUUGGAUUUGUAUGAACUGGAAUGAGUUAUUAGAAUGAGAUGUGGAAAAAUCUAAUAAUUUUUUUUUUAGUGAAAUAAGUUCUGAAUACACUUAAAUAUAAGACUGAAAUAUUGCUUAUUGUUAUUAAUGAUCAAGUUGAUUUAAAGUAUGGGAUAAUUAAUGAAUAAUUGUAGACAUAAAUUAAAUGUAUAUAAUUUAUCCAUUAAUGUUAUUAAUUUGAAUUAUGGUAAUACCACUGAGUAUUCCCAUACUCAGCGUACGGUUGUUUCCGUGCGCAGGUUAGUAGGAAGCCAGUGCUCGGUCCAGCAUCCAGAGUAAUCCCGACCUCAGAGAAAUUUUGGUGAUGUACUUUUGUUUUGAUAAUGUGGCAUGUACCUAAGUGAUAUAUAGGUUAAGUAUAAGAGUUUUGUGAUUGUGGUUUUAGAACGAUGUUUAAAUUGGUUAUAAGUAUGAAAUGGAACUAAUAUGACAUAUUUGAUUAAAGUAUGCUAUGUCUGUUAUUUAUUUGUGAAUUAGUUAUAAGUUAUCCGAUAUGUCCGGUAAUACUCUAUAACCCUGUUCCGGUGACAGUUUGGGGUUAGGGGUGUUACACAAUACACUCACAAUAACAAAAUAUUCAUUAAGCGGAUCACAACCCAAAAAUCUAAAAUAUCAACAAAGAUCACAACCCAAAAAUUUUGUUCAAAAACGUACCCAACUCCAAAUAUAAUAAAUUAUGAGAAUGAGUAGUACAGGACAACUGUGAAAAUUGUUAAUGAGAAUGCUCUAAGCACUCCUCGUUAUUGCCUCAGCAGAAAUCUAAAAUUUUAUUAUAAUGAGAAGUUGUAUAAUAUCAUCAAAUUCCUAAAUUUAUUGAAUACUUCUUAUAAAAAUAUAAUUUAGAUAAUUUUCAUUAUAUAUACUAGUUUUGAUGACAAGUUGUAUAAUACUAUCAAAUCAUAAGAUGUUAAUUUUAUUAAAUAUUUUUAUAAAAAUAUAAUUAAAUUACUGAUUACUACUAUGUUAUGAAGUGUCUACCAUGUAGAAUUAUUAAUUUAUUAUCCAUACAUUUUUUUUAUAAAUUUUUUAGAAUAGGACAAAAUUAUAUAAGGUAUAAAUAUUGAGAUUUAAUGAUUUUCAGAUAACGAUCAAACUGACAUAUAAUAUAUAAAUAUUGAUGGUUUAAUUUAUUAUUAUGUCAAUUUUAGAAUUGUUGUGUCAUUUUCCAUUACCUAGCUAAUAAAAAUAGACUAAAAAAAUAUGAGUCAUCGUUUUGUAAUUUUUUAUAGAUUAAUAAUAAUAAAUUAGUUUAAAUAAAAAAUAUAUUCCAUAUUUAAAUAAGAUAAUAUUAUUAAUUUUAAAGAAUGUUUGAUCAUUUACUUUCAGCACUCUUAAAGUUUUCACACAUAAUAUUUUGUUAGGUUUCAAUAUUUCCCUUAAUUAGUGUUCUGAUAGAUCUUAAUUAAUUAGAAUCUGGUUUUGUUAUCAAUUCCAUUUUCUUAUUUUAAGUGAACCAAUCUUUGAAAAAAAAGUUUUUCCCUUCCAACCAAUAAAUUGGUUAUAGCGAUUGAGGACACCUCAAACCACCAACUUUUACUUUUGUUGUCGGUUUCGAUGACCUACAAAUCAACCCUUGUCGAAUUUCUAACCAUGUGACACAUGCGUGUAAUAUUAAACCUGAUAAAAUGUAGCAACAUUGAUUUUUUAAUAUAGAGAUUCAAUAAUAAGGGGAUUAAUUUAUUCUCUCCUAUCUCAAGAUUUGAAAAUUGUAAAAGUGAUAAACAUAUGAAAACAAGAAACAAACAUAAGAAAAAUAUAAAAUUUAUUACCAUAACUACAUACGAUAAAACAAGUUGAAUAAUACAAGACUUUUCAUGUACCUUGGAGGUACAAUACACCCCAUCCCCCAAAGGAAAACACUUGAAGAAACGUAUUGGACAUAUUCAAUAUCAAUCUUCCACAAGAAAAUUAAAACAACAAAAAAAUACAAAUAAAGACAUUGAUUUAAUGCAAAUAAGGGAAAACCAUAACUUUCAAAAACCAAACACAAAUAGAAAGAUGAAAAAGAAUGUAGGGGGAGUGAUGACUUAAAUUAGCAUUGGAAGCCAGUAGGAACAUUCCUUGAGCAAACGUUGAGAAGCAAGCUAAGGGAAACUGGGAUAUUAAGGUUGAGGCCUAAGACGUUUGCUCUGAUAGCGGUGCAAAGGCAAGCGGCAGCUUCAAGGUCAACGAGACCAUUGAGAAGGGAACAACAUGGCAUCACUGGGGGUGAACCAACAGUGACAUUGACUAAGCUAAGCACAUUGGCACAUACACCUAAUUUAAGAGCAUCCCUGGGGCACCUACCUCGUGCAGAUGGAGUGGGGGUGGGGGUGGGAUUAGAGCCGGAAGAAGAGCAAGAUCGACAAGUAGCACUGACUAGGGAAAAGAAAAGAAUGUUGAGUGCUAAAAAGAGGGCCAUGGAAGCUGAUCUUUUUGAAGCCAUUUUGGUCUUCUCUUAAAACCCUAGUGGCUUGCUUUCUUAGCUUUAGAGUUAAAAAAGUAGAAGUGUUUGAGGAUGGAGAGCUUGGAGCAAAGGGAGGUGGUUUUAUAGUGUUAACAAGAAGGGCUAGUGGAUGUUUUUUUAAUGCUAGGCUAAUUCAUCAAAUUGUAAAAUAAAAUCAAUUAGAGGUGGCUGGUGAAGUUUGGAUGUUUGUGAUGAUCGUGAGGUGGAACUAAUUAACACAUUGUGCCAUGGUUCACGAAGAAUUAAUGACCGUUAAAUCUUGCUUGUUUUAGUUUUAAUCUACACUACAUUUAUGUAGAUUUUUUUUUAUAGAAUCAAAGUUUACUAAAUAUAUGUUUUAUGGUACUGAGCAAUUAAAUAAAUGGUAAAUUACCUCUAAAGUUACUAAAUUAUCAAUAAAUUUACGUUUUGGUCACUCAACUUCAAAGAAUUAUAAAAUGAUCAUUGAACUGUUCAAAAAAAUUAUUUAAGUCAAUGGUUUGUUAAGUUUUUAUUAUUAUUUAAGUUUAACUAGCAAGCUCUAAGCAACGAUUUGACGAUUGGUACGAUGGAUCAAUACCCAUCGACGAGUAGAAAAACACCUUAGAUCCAACCUGAUCUGAUGGCUAGUGUCGGAGAUUGGAGAAAAAAGUUGUUUAGAUUUUGAUUCGCUGAUUUAUAACGUUUAAAGUUGUUUCAUUAAAAUGAAAAACUAAACUAUAGAAUAGAAAGGAAAGAAGAGAUUUUAAUUGGUGCAAAUAGUGUGAACGAAAAAAGUCAUCCAAUAGUAAUUUAAUAGCUCAAUGACUUAAAUAAAAACUUUCGAAUAGUUCAGUAACUAUUUUAUAACUUGUUAAAGUUGAGUGACCAAAACAUAAACUUACUAAUAAUGUAAUAACCUUGGGUGUAGUUUACCCUUAAGUUAAAUGAUUGGUUUGCAUUUAAUGUAUUAUUAAGGUAUAAAUUUAAUCCAUGUGUUUUAAUCUCAUUAAUAGUUGAACAUAUCGGUAAAACAAAUAAUUACUGAUUAAGGAUUUUACCUUAUCAAUGAUGAUUAAGGAUAAAAUAAAUUUUUAUCUACUUAAUAAUCAUAUAUUAUCAUAUAGUUAAGUAUCGAAACCUGCUAAUCAUCUAUUGUUUUGUGGACAUAUAAACUAAUUUCCAGAAGACUCUCCUCCCAUAAUUGAAUUUUUUUUUAAUAAUUUUACUAUAGGUUCUGAUUAUAUCUGUUAUUUUUAACACAAUACUUAGAACUAUUUAUAGUCUCCCCCAAUCCAUAAAUAAAAGGAUAAUGCGCUUCAGCGCACUCAAUCGGCCACAGUUUAAAAAAUACUAAAUAAAUAAAGAAUAUAUGAGUCAUAAGUAAAAGGUUAUUUCAUACCACAAUAAUGGGUUCACGGGUUUGAUUUGGUGCUUAAGAAGAUUCUUUAUCCAAACUAUAGGUUUAAGUUUUUAUAUAUACAUAUUAGUUGUUUUAAUUUGGUGUUUUAUGGUCUUCCACCUUUUAUUUGUUUGUUUAAUUUGUUUCUAACUUUUUGGUUAUUUCUUAACCUUUGAAUUUUAUUAAUAAAUUUUUUUGGCUGACUAAAAAAAGGACAUUCUCCGAUUUCAACCGUUGAAGAAAGUAAUAUAAAUGAAAAAUUCAAGUUAAUUUUUAAUUUUAUGAUUUUAUGGUUUAAUUUAAUUAAAGGUUGUUUUUUAAAAAAAAUGGUUUAAUUUAUAUGGUAAUAAUUGUUUUAAAAAAUAUAUAUUUAAAUUUUAAUAAACAGAAAUAUAACUAAAAUUAUAUAAAAGUUUGAGUGUUGUUUUUGUAUAAACACUUGGAAUUUGAGAAUUGACAUUUGUUGUAAAUUUUUGGGGAUAAAGCGAUGAAAAUUGACUGAUGUUGAAGUAAUGCUGAUUGAUAUGGGUUGGGUGGACAAUCUAAUUAAUGGCUUCUUUCAAACAAAUCACUACCUAUAGAUCAAUAUGGGUAAUAACUAAAAAGUAAUUAUGGCCUUUAUUGUUCUCCUUUCAGUUUAAUUACUCAAUUUAUAUUUACUUAGGCUUUGACUAAAAAUAUUUUUUAAUUUAAACUUUGAUUUUGAAUAAAAAUAUUUGAUAGGUAAAUCUUAAUUUUAAACCGAAUUCUAACCCAAGCCAAAAUUUUUAGCGUUUGACUUUUGGAGAAAUGUUUUUUAAUAAAGUUUUCUAAUUUAUAACAUUAUGUCUAAAUUGUCAUUUUAUUUUUUAAAAUUACUUUUUAACAUUAAUGAUAAACAUUAUCAAAAUUUUUAAAAAUACUUUUUAAAAGUUAUUUUCUACCGUACUUUUCAACUUUAAUGAUUUUUGUUUUCUUUUUUUUCUAUUCUCUUACUUCAAAACUAUAUUCAAUCUAUAGCUAAUUUAGACAAAUAUUUGUUCCCCAAGGGAAUUCAUACUAGUUACAUAAUUAAAGGAGAGCUCAACCAACAACCAAAUAUAAUAUAUCUUAUCUUAUGAUAAAUUCGAGAGUGUUAAUCAUUAAUUAUAUUAGACAUGAUACGAUCAUGACGUGGGUAAGAAAUAUCAUGUAAUAAAUUUUUAAAAAUAGAUUGAUUGAGUUUUAACUCAAUUGGUAUCGAUAUCAUUGCUAGUACAAUAGGACAUAGGUUCGUGUGCGUUGAAGCGCAUUAUCUUUUUAUUUAAGAGUUGGAGGGAUUAUGAUUAGUUUUAGAUAUUGUAUAUAAAAAAUAAAUACUAAGAACUGUGAUGUGGUAAAGUUAAAAUAAUAAAAAAUUAUAAUAUCUUGAUUUAAAUCCCAUAUGUAUUUUUUUAAAAAUUUACAGUUUAAUGUAACAGGUUAUUUUUGCCCAGGCCCAAACCAAACCAAAUAAAAAUAAAAUAAUAACAGUCCAAAUUUACAAUAUGGCCCAAAACAAACAAAAAAAACCUAAAGGCCCAAAAUCCAAAGACCCAAUUACAGGCCCACAACCUAACUAUCUCAGUAAAACUAAAAAACCCUAAUCCCACUUGCGCCGUUGCCCCUGGCCACGUCAACGUUCCUCGUCCCGAGGCCUGACACACCCUUUCUGCCACCAUUUCACCAAAGUAGCAAAGGGUCUGCCCAUCGCCUUCUGUUGACUCUGCCACUUGCAAGAAAAGAGCAAAAAAAGGGACAAAGUCAACGUGCAAGAACAGACGCAAAACAGAAAAAAUAAACAAUGUAAUAUUGGCUAUAAAGGCCACAACAAUCAAUGUAAUUUUUGGGGAGAAAAAUAUACGAAAACAAUAAAAAAAAUCAGAUACAAACUUGAAACAAAGAAAAAGAAGGUGAUUUAUUUUUAUUUUCAGAUUCGAAAGCAAUAAAAUAAUAAUACAAAAUUGUUUACCUGUCUAUCCUUUCAUACCGCCGUCGAGGGGCUUUCCCGAUCCCAAAAGCCGCCAAACCCAUUAGGGUAUCGUCUGGGCUUCGGUGAAAAAGGACGCGAAGGGCGCGCGACAAGAAGGAAAACCAAUUUUUUUAUCCUUUUUUAUUUUUAAAGGCAUUUGCCUUUGGAUUUGGGUUUCUGGGAGUCAAAAGGCAAAAAAGGGGGCUUUUUUACGUUUACCGGCCAUCGGUGGCUGUCGGCGGAGCACUGUGGCUCCUUUGGCAAUGAUUUUUUUUUUUAGAAUUUUUUGGUUUAAAUAGGGCUUGGAAACGGCGCUGUAUUUUAAAUUCUCUUCAAAUCUUCAAUUUUCAACACUAAAGAUAUCAAGUAAUCAACUGGGUACUAAUUUUGAGCGUCUCGAGAGUGCUAAUCAUUUCCGAACCCAUUUUUUGAAUCUUGUAGACCAAAAAUCGUUUUUUCAGUAAAUCAAACCUUUUAUUAAAACGGUCAAAUUACGAGGUGAUUCUGUCACACCUCAUAAAAAAAGAAUUGGUGGCGACUCUCAUUUUUAUUUUUUAAUAAAAAGUCGACUUCGAUAAAAAAAAAAUUCGACACUUAAUAAAACUAAAUAUAUACAAUAAAUCAAAUAGUCAAAGGUUUCGAGGAUAAGCAUGAUUUAUGUCUUGAAUUCUCAGCGUAUUGCAGUUUUGUGGCAAUCAAAAUGUAAAGCAAGUCCAAGGAAUGUUUGCCUUUUUGUGCAGUCAAACAGGCUUUUUUAGUUUCCCAUUUGAGAAUGCUUACAUCUUCCUUACAGUAACGGACCCAGAACUGUACUUCCUAAUGAGUUUCAAUUCGUAUUAUCAAUUGCCAAUGUUACCCAUUUUAUAUUCUAAUCACUAGAUAUCAAUAUAUGAGCUAUGAGUAGUAUCUACAAUAAAAUAAGAAAAAAACCUAAAAGAAUAAAGGAAUAAAUUAUAUUAAGAUGAUAUUAAAAAUUAAGGAUUUUAACUAUCAAUAAAAUAAAACUGUGUCAUUAAUUUUAAGUAUAUAAAAAAAUGAUCACUAUUAUGUCUAUAUAAUCACUACCCUAACUUGAUUAAAUUAUUUAUAAAAUAAUUUAGAAAUUAAAAUUUUUGGGCAGCGAACACAUUCUCUUUUUUACUUUUCUCUCAGGGAUUAACGCAGGUCUUGACUGAUUUGGUUGGGUUUCAGCAAACCUUUGCAUAUAUGUUCUCUCUUGAAUUGUAUGAUGGUUUCUAAUGAAAUAUGUAAAAGUUGUAUUGGUUUCCAAUAAAAUUGAGAUUUCAAAUGAAAGUUGUAUUGUUCGCAAAACAUUUAUAAAAGUUGAUUGAUAAGUUCUUAGUAUGAUACUAAUAUAACUUAUACCCAAAUAACAAAUAUAAAAGUGGUAGACAUAUUUUGCACUAAAUAUGAAAAAGUAAGCACAAACAUUAUAAAAUUAUAUAAAAUUUAUUGCCAUAACUAGAUGCAGAGAUUUUAUAAAUAAAGUGACAAGGAAACAAGAAGUAAGGAAAUAAAACAAGCUGAAUAAUACAAGUCUUUUCAUGUCCCUUAAAGAUACUAAAGUUCCCUAAGAAAAACAUUUGAAGAAAAGUAUUAAACUUAUUCUAUAUCAAUCCCCACAAGGAAAUUUAAACAACAAAGUUACAAAUGAAAACACAGAGUAAAUAAUAGAAAUCAUAACUUUCUAAAAUCAAACACAAACACCAUAAGAAAGACGAUAAAAUAUGUAGGGAACAGUGAUGAUUUAGCAUUGGAAGCCAGUAGGAACGUUCCUUGAACAAACGUUGAGGAGCAAGCUAAGGGAAAUUGGGAUGUUAAGGUUGAUGCCUAAAAUGUUAGCUCUGAUAGCGGUGCAAAGGCAUGCAGCAGCUUCGAGGUCGACAAGGCCAUUGAGAAGGGAACAGCAUGGCAUCACUGGGGGUGAACCAACGGUGACAUUGACUAGGUUAAGCACAUUGGCACAUACACCUAAUUUGAGGGCAUCCCUAGGGCACCUGCCUUGUGCAGAUGGAGUAGGAGUGGGGGUGUUGGGGUUUGGGUUUGGCCUUGGUUUAGGGUGGGGUGAAGAGCAAGAGCCACAAGCACUGACUAGGGAAAAAAAGAGAAUGUUGAGUGCCAACAGGAGGACCAUGGAAGCUGAUCUUUUAGAAGCCAUUUUGAUCUUCUCUCAAAACCUUAGUGGCUUGCUUUCUUGGCUUUAGAGUUAAAAAGGUAGAAGUGUUCGAGGAUGGGGAACUUGGAGUGAAGGAAGGGGGGGUUUUAUAGUGUUUUCAAGAAGGCUAGUGGGUUGUUUUUUUAAUGUUAGGUUAAUUGAUGAAAUUGUAGAAUAAAUAUUAAGCUGACUUGUGAAGUUUGGUUGUUUGUGAUUUGUGAGGUGGAAAUUAACACACUACCAUGUUACCAUUGCUCCUAUAGGAUCAAUAAUAUACGUGGAUCUGUCUUAGCCUAACUCUAAAUGAAUACCCUCUUGUAAUGUCCCAUGUUCUUCCAAUAUAUAAGCAUAAUAGUGACAACUUACAAACCGCUAAGUAGAGACAAAAUGGAUUACAAAUUAAUAAUCUCUCUUUGUCAAACCUUUCAUGUUCUUCUUCAGCCAUUAAACUUAAAAUUUAUUCAACUUCCCAAUGCAGUAAUAAACUUACUAUAAGCAGCUAAUGUAUCCAAAACCAACAUUAAAUAAUGGUUUCUACUUUAACUCAUUUAAUCAAAUUGUUUUCCUUAAAAACCAUCUGGUACAAACCAGUUUGAGAUGCUUCCAUAUUAAUAUUCAAUAAUAUUAUUUUGAGAUUAUUAAUAAUUACUGCCAACCAACCUCCUAUUUUCUUAUUUGGUUCAAAAAUGGAUGCAAAGUGUUGGAGAUAUUGGCAUGUUGCCAAUGGAAGUUGUUAUCGCUGGAUUCGACUGGUAUGUCACGGGCGAACUUUAGAGCCUACCGUGGAUUCCACGCAAUUAGCCCUAUUUCUAACUUAAAAUGGAUGCUUAUGUUUAUAUUCAAAUUGAUAUUUUAAAUAUUAACUAAUUAUCUUUCAUCUCACUUUGAUAGUUCAAGUGAUAAAAUUUAUAAGUAGAUUUCAACUAUUAAGUCUCAUCUUAGAUGAUUUAACACAUCACAACGUUAUUUUAUCUAAACUUAUGGCACUAAGCUACUUACCCCUAGGUUUUUAAUGUAACCCGCUAUGUGGCACCUCAAAAUAGGGCAUGACCUGGGGCCUUAGAACGAGACCAAAUAACUUGAAUCUUUUCUCUUCCUAAUUUAUCUCCAGCAUUAUCAUUUCUUUUUUCGUAAGUUACUUGUGAAGAGUUUAUCAUUUUUGGGCGACCGCCCUUGAACGCGUGCUACAAUCUUCAGCAUUUGACAAAUGUGAUUCCACCAUAUGAGGAAGCUAGAUCGUUGAAAUUGAUUGCUUAAACAAAAGCUAUAAUUUCCUAUGGAGAAUACAAAUAUUCAUCGCAUUCGAACAAAAGGUUAUGAAUAUGUAUACUCCUGUAAAUUCCAAUAACUCUAAAAUAUUUAUUAACGGAGCAGAUUAUUACCACAUUAGGAAGAACAAAAGUAUUUAUCAUUCCUGUCAGUACAUAAUUAUAUAUUUAAAAAGAUAAAUGUUUGAAACAAUAAAAGAAAUUCCUUCAAAAUUAGCAUUUUCUCAAACCAAAAACUCUUUCAUUAUAUAUAGUAUGAAUCCAUUGAAAAAUCUUCCAAACUUCUCUGCAAAAAUAUAAAAAUAAAUAAAUAAAACAAUAAGAAAUUGUUGUAGAGCAAAAGAAGACCAAAUUGAUUUAUAUAUUCAUUUUUUUUUCUCUUGAAGUUUGACAAAAUUCCAUAAUUGAGUUUUCCAUUUUCAAACCUUUGGAAAAAAAGGAAAGCAAUAUCCAGAAAAUCCGAAGCAAAUAUAACAGCGAUAAUGAAAUAAUUCUUUUUAUAUUACACAGAUUAGUAUGAAGAAAUUAUGUGUAAAAGGUCUGACUUUAAUCAUCGGCUGCAUCAGGUCUGCUUAGUUUGUUCAGUAUUUUGCCAUCCCGUGAAAAAUUAUAUUUAUAAGUUUUUUUUAAUAAACAUAAUAAUUCAAAAAAUAUAGGACAGAAGCAUAAUCGCAACUUCUCUUUUAUUAAUAUUAGAUAUCCAUUAUGAAUGGUGCAAAAUCCAGCAUAAAUAUCAAAUUUAAUUUAGUGUAAUUGUACAUAUAAAAUAUAAGUUGUGAUAUCUAUUUAUACAAAAGAUUUUGUUUUCUUGUUCAAUUAUACAUAUUAGAAAAAUAAAUAUAUACAUUUAUUUUUAUAUCAGAUUAAAAUACUUGUUUGUGCAUGCAAUAUAUCAAUAUAAAAUGGUGCUAACUUAAUAAUAUUGUUAGUGAUUUGUGAAAAAUUGAAUCAAAUCAAAACUUCAUGUAUAAAAUUGCAUAAAAUCAAAGUUUAUGUGUUGUAUAACAUUGCAUACUGGAUCAAAUCAAAAUUAUUUUGUUAAUUUUCUAUUAUGUUAUUAAUAAAUUACAAAAUUAAUCAUUUGGUAGCUUUAACUAUUAAAAUUAUCAAUUUGCGGCUUGCACUUAUUCCAAGUUAUUAUCCUAUUAGUUGUUCAAACAAAAGUUAGAAUAAAAAAAAAAAAGACAAUUCUGUAAGAAAAAAGUUCAAUACAAAAUAUUUGUUAACACGGUUAAAAUUCAUCAAUUCAACUUUACGAAGCCUCUCCUAGAAAAUGAUUUUACUGCCCGAUCCCAUUAUUGUCUUAAGCCUAACCUACCCUUACAUAAUGGAUGAUUAUAGUCCCAAAAUCGAACAAAAAUUAUUGCAAUCACUCUUCUAAAAAAACUCGCCUACAACCAAGAAUAUCUCUCCAACAAAUACGAAUCAAAAUGCACAAUAACUCUCGAAUUAUCAAGUAAAAGCACUUGAAAAAACUGCCAACCUGUGCCAAAUCAAUGGCAUAUUUUCAAAAAUCAAAUAGCAAGCCUUCAAACUUUAAUCACCAAUCGUUUCAAACUAUAUUAUCCAUCAAAUUUCUCCAAACAAUUGGGUUAGUUUGAAUUCUUGAAAGAUAAGGAUGGAGUUCACACAUCUUUAAAUUCUUCUUUUCUCUUCAAGAGUAUUAUCCAAUAAAUAACAUUAAGCUUGAUCAUAUCUAGCUUCCUAAAUUACCUACAUUUAUUGCCUAAAUAUACUUUAUAAAAUAAUUACUUAAAUUAUAAUACCAACAAAAAUAUAAAUAAUUUAAUUGUCACAAACGGCUCUAUAAUAUCACCAUGAAACAUAGUCCACGUAUCAUUAUAAUUUUUAAAUUACAAGAGAAAAAAAUGAUAGCUUUGACCACAGGUUUGGGGAUAACCAUCACUAAUGUGUUGAAUUAUGAGGAUAAUGUGGUUGAAAUCAAAAUGUAAAGCAAGUCCAGGGAAUCUUUGCCUUUUUUGCAGUCAAAUGAGCUUUUUCUAAUGUCCCUUUUUAGUUUCCCAUUUGAGAUUUCUUACAUCUUCCUCAACAAAGUCUCACUCACGGACUCAAAAACUGUGCUUCCUAAUGAGUCUCAACUCAUAUUGUAUUUAUUAAGUUAAAUAUUAGCUAUGAUGUCUAUAAUAAAAUAAUAUAUAUAACAUUAAAUAAAUUGAGAUCGAUAGAGCUUUCGACAGAACAUCGACGACUCUUGAUACAAUGUUGUACCAUUAAUCUAAAAUGAGAUAUUUGAUGUGGAUAAGGAUGGUGCAUGAGAAUUUUCAAUUUUUCGAGGGAUAUUAGUGGUGUUGGCCUGCGAAAUGUAGUUUCUCGAGAAACAUGGCAAACUAGAUUGCUUUCUAUUGGGUUGAGACAGUAGGUGAAAAUCCCAUUGAUUAUUGAAAUUAGUUUGUGUGUUGCUUUGGAGUGGCUGAUGAAUAAGAAUUAUAAAUUGUGGUCAUUUCGAAAUCUAUUUAUGAUAUUGACUGCGGCAUUAACCAGCUGGAUUGAUUUCAAUUCGCAGUUAUUCACCAGCAGGGUAAAGGUAUGGCUGAUGCUCUGACGAAAGCAGAUAUAUUGAGACCUUCGGUUUUUAAGGCCUGGUGGUAAAUUUUGGUUAUUGUCUUUUAGUACUAUUUGAGUGGAGGGUAUUUGUCUUAGGUCGAGUGUUGUAAUCUUGUUGUCCUUAAAAGAGGUUGCUUUCAUCCAACUUUUUUCUCGGUUUGCUAUAUUUUCAAGAAAAAAAAGAAGAAGAAAUAAAACAAGUUGAAUAAUAUAAGUUUUUUUUCAUAUCCAUUGGAAAUACAAUAAACCCUCGUAGAAAAGCACUUAAAAAAGUAUUAGACUUAUUUUAUAUCAAUCUCCAUAAGAAAAUUUAAACAACAAAGUAACUAAUGAUAACAUUGAUGUACCGUAAAUACUGAAUCAUAAUUUUUAAAAACCAAACACAACCACGAUAAGAAAGAUGAGAAAGAAUGUAGGAACAAUGUUGACUUAGCAUUGGAAACCAGUAGGAACAUUCCUUGAGCAAACGUUGAGAAGCAAGCUAAGGGAAAUUGGGAUGUUAAGGUUGAUGCCUAAGAUGUUAGCUCUGAUAGCGGUGCAAAGGCAAGCAGCGGCUUCGAGGUCCACAAGACCAUUAAGAAGGGAACAACAUGGCAUCACCGGGGGUGAACCAACGGUGACAUUGACUAAGUUAAGCACAUUGGCACAUACACCUAAUUUGAGGGCAUCCCUAGGGCACCUACCUCGUGCAGAUGGAGUAGGGGUGGGAGUUGGCCUUGGGUUAGAGCCAGAAGAAGAACAAGAUCCACAAUUAGCACUGACUAGGGAAAAGAAGAGAAUGUUGAGUGCCAAAAGGAGGGCUAUGGAAGCUGAUCUUUUUGAAUCCAUUUUGAUCUUUUCUCAAAACUUGAAUGGCUUGCUUUCUUGGCUUUAGAGUUAAAAGGUAGAAACGUUUGAGGAUGAGGAACUUGUAGUGAAGGAAGGGGGGUUUUAUAGUGCUUCCAGCAAGGCUAGUGGGUUAUUUUUUAAUGUUAGGCUAAUUGAUCAAAUUGUAGAUUAAAAUCAAUUUGACAUCUGGCUGGUGAAGUUUGGUUGUUUAUGAUCUGUGAGGUGGAAAUUAGCACAGUGCCAUGUUAGAAUGCUCCUAUAGGAUCAAUAUGUGAAUCUAUCAUUCACUAAAUUACAUUAUUUGCAACAGUAUUUUCAUUUAAGUAACAAUUCAAAAACAUCAAAUAAUGUUAAGUUUGUUCUUUUAUGAUAAUUAAUUAUAUUUCAAUUUCAAUUUAUUUUUUUAUACAUAAAUCUAAUGAAUCAUGAAUAAACUCUGUACAUAUAAUCAAGUGUAAAAGACUCGAUGAAUAACUAUUAAGAGAAAAAAAUAUCAUAAAAAAAUGAUAAAAAAAACAAUACAACUAUUACAUUUAAAUUUUAAUGUGAUAGCCUUUCUGAAUAAUAUUGUUUACAAAAUUUAAAUCCAUAUUUUGUUCUUAGAAAUACAAUAUAUCUUACAACAACAUCCGAUACUUAUUAUUGAUGAUAUCAAUUUCUCUUUUUAAGUCUUCUAAACAGCUGUAGUUAAUAAUAUUAUCAUCUUGUUUACUUCAAGUUUAAAUGAAUAUCUCCAUAAUAUUCCAUGUUCUUCCAAAAUAUAAGGACUUACAAACCGCUAAGUAGAGACAAAAUGGGUUACAGAUUAAUAAUCUCUCUUUGUUAAACCUUUCAUGUUCUUCUUCAGCCAUUAGUACCCUCUAAACAGAUUUACUGAACUUCAUUCACAUUAAACUCGUAAUUUAUUCAAAGUUCCCAAGGUUCAACUUAAUUGCACUAAUAAACUUUCUAUAAGGAGCUAAUGGAUCCAAAACCGACAUUAAACAGUGGUUUCUACUUUAGCUCAUUUAAUGGAACUCAAAAGGGUUUUUGUUUUCCUUAAAAAGCACAAGAUUUAAUGGAAACACAGAUCAGUUUGAGAUGCUCCCUUAUUAAUAUUCAAUAAUAUUAUGAGAUUAUUAAUAAUUACAGCCAACCAACCUUUUUUUUCUUUCGGUUCAGAAAUGGCGUAUUGUAGGUGCAAAGUGUUGGAGAUAUUGGCAUGUUGUCUAUGGAUGUUUUGUAGCUGGAUUCGACUGGGAGUGUCACGGGCGAGCUUUAGAACCUACCGUGGAUUCCACGCAAUUACCCCUAUUUCUAAUUAAAAAUGAGCUUAGGUUUUAUGCUUUUAAAUCCAAACUGAUAUUUUAAAUAUUAAUUACUUAUGACUAACAAAUAUAUUUAUUAAUUGUCACAUCAAAAAUUAAUUAUUGUGUCUCAUGUGAUACGACUCAAGACACGUUAUAAGAUCACUUUACCAAAACUUAUGAUACUAGGUCAUUUGUUCUUGACUCGCCAAUAAUAACCCGAUAUGUGGAACCUAAAGACAGGGGACGACAAAUAUAAGGCCUGGCUCUUCCCAAUUUAUCUCCAGCAUCAUCUUCUUCUCUUUCUUCUCCGACCACUCUAUUCAAUAACUCAUCCCUUUGUCCUAAACAAGAUGGAUCACAUAUUUCCGCUACCUACUUAUCCUUAAAAGAAUUAAUGAAUUAAACUCAUAUUAUAAUACUAAAUUUGAUUAUCUCAAUAAUUUAAUUUCCAAAAAUGUUUUAAUUUAAUAAUUUUUAUAUACUAAGACAUUGUUUCACUGCAUUGUUAAGUAAGAAAAUCAACCUCGUUUAUGAGACCUCGAUCCAAUUUUCGCCAGCUUUGACAUAUUUUGAUAAAUGGGAGCAAAAAAAGUCAUUUUAGGGAAUUAAAAUUAAAUUAUAAAUAUUGAUGAUUGAAAUUUUAUUUUAUUAUAAUUUUAAACCCGAUCUUUUAAGUUUAUUUCCUUUUGGCAAUUGUGAUUCCAUCCAAUGAGGAAGAUCAUUGAAAUUGAUUGCUUAAACAAAAGGAAUAAUUCCAAUGAAUCUAAAAUAUUUAUUAAAGAAAAUUUAGGCUUAUAAACUUAUACAUACAAAGUAAAUUGGUUAGUUCAUAAAUAAAAAUAUUGUGAUUAAACUAGUAGAUUGUACAAGCCCAUUUUUGCCCGGGCCCAUAUCAGAAAAUAAACCAAAUUACAAACAGCCCAUUUUCAAAAUUUUGACCCAAUUACAAGCCCAAAAUCCCCAUGGCCCAAUCAAAUUAACCCAGGCCCAAUACAAUUACAAGCCCAAAACCCAUUUUCAAAAUAAAAGAAAGAAACAGAAAAACCCUAGCUCUAGGUGCGCCGCACCUAGGGCCUUCUGACUCUUCCGAUCCUUGACCUACCAACUGCCACUGCCGCGCGUUUGUCACCGCCAUUGUCCCAUCACCGACGCAUGUCAAUCACCUACAGAAGAAAGAUCAACACGCAAACAGCAAAAAUAAUAGGAAAAAUAGAAAACAAACCGGCUAUAAAAAGCCGAAUUCCCUUCUGUAGUUUCUUCCUUUUUUACAACAAUUAAUGAAAGGAGAUAAAAAAAAAACUAAAAAGGUUGAUUCCAAAGUUCUUUUUUGCCUCUGCUCUUACUCUUUUAUUUCUAUCUCCUGUUGUUUGUUUUUUUUACUAUUCUUCUAAACUAAAAAAACAAAACGAAAAGAAAGGAAAAGGGACACUUACUGGUCUUGAAAGCCCGUCGCCGGAGACCACCUUCGGCGUUGGAAUCGGACUGAAAAGGGGGUAGGAAAAACCCCUCCUUUUUCGUUUUUUCGGGACUAAAUGGGUAGAUCUUUAGGGGGGUCGAGAAUGGCGUUAAAAACCCACCUUUUCUUGCCAAGGCCACCUCUCACGGCGGAGCCCCGGCGUUGGUAGCCGGCUGUGGUAUCUGACGGAAAAGGGGAAAGAGAACAGAGAGUUCUCUGUUGUUUUUUUAAAUGUAAUGAAAAUAUUUUUUUUUCUUUAUUUUUUGCUAUUUAUGCAGGCCAUCAUAUGGCGCCAUUUUGGGCUUAAGUUUUAUGACCAAAACGACGCCGUUUCGCCUAAUAACCGAAACCCGACCCGAUGGCCCCCAGGAUUCGCGCGUUUCUGCGGUGAAGGGGAUAUUUGCGCAUAUUUCCCUUUCGCUUUUGUGUGGCUUUGCAAUUUGGUCCUGAAAUCCUUUUUUUUUCUUUACAUUUUGCGGUACAAUUUUAUUUUUUGUUUCAUAUUGGUCCAGAUGUAAACGGUGCGUUUUAAAGGACUGGGAAUAAUUUCCCAUGUAGUCCUCAUUUUAUUCCACCGUAUUUCUGUUGGCCUUUUCUUCUUUUCUUUAUUUGCAAUUUAUACUUUUAAAUUUCAUUAAGAUUUCGAUGCGGUCCCUUUCAUAUUUAUUUCAUUCAUUUUAUUAUAAUUUAGACUUCAAAGUUUAUUUUAAUCUCAAUUUGAUCCUUUAUCCAUUUAAUUUUAAGUUAAUUUUAUCUAUUUAUGCCUUUUUGUCCUGUUUUAUUUAUUUAGUUAUCCCUACAUUUAUUUAUUUAUUUUUCUUGUAUUUAUAGCUUAUUACGUUCUUUUUUUUACUUAUACAUUGUAUUAUUAUUGUCAUCAUUCUUAUUAAUGUUUAAUUCAUUUUUAUGUUCUAGUAUUAGAAUAAGCAAUUAAUAUGGUCAUUGUUAUUAUUUGGUGAUUGUUGUUAUAAUUAUGUCAAUAUUAUUGUUGUAUUUUAUGAUUUAUCAUUUACUUUUUUUUAUAUUCUACUAAUAUAGUUACUUUAUGUUAUUUUAUUAUUAUUGUACUUUGCAUUGUAUAAAGUAAAUGUUAAUCCUCAUACGAAAUUUGCAUAAAUUAAAUUUAUAUCUUGUUAAAUAUUAUACUAACUUUUACUCAAAAUUCAAAGAAGAAAAAUUUUCAAACAAUCAUGUUUAAUCGACCAAACAAUCAUGUUUAACCACAUAUACCAUGUAACCAAGUAAUCAACUAAUUUUUAUGUCUAAUCGCAUUUGUAGAAGCCCAAUUUCACCCGGGCCUAUUACAAACAAAUAAAACACAAAAUAACCCAUUUCCAACAGACCCAAACCCAUUACCAAAAUACCCAAACUAAACCCACCUAAACAGGCCCAAUAGCCUAACCUCGACCCAAACCCAAAAAAUUUUAGGGUUUCAGACCCCUAACUCUCCCUAGCCUAGUGCCGCAACCACCCUUGGUCUUCUGCUCACCUGCUCUGCCAGCAACCAUCGCCAACUGCCACUGUCAUCUCCAUCCACGUGCGCUGAUCCCUGCAAACAAAUCAAGGCAGACAUGACAAGCAUAGGAAAUAGACUAGAAAUCUCAUGUAAAAGCAUAGGAAAUAGACUAGAAAUCUCAUGUAAAUCGGCUAUAAAGCCAAGAAUAUGUAUUGUAAAAUGGCCCUAUCUCUUUUUCACGAUUUCAAGAAAUAAAAAGUAAAAAAAACAGAUUUAAGGACUCUUUGUUUUCGGUAUAAGAUCUAAUUCCUUUUUUUAUUUUUAUUUUUUUCUUCCUUUUGAAACUGUUUAUAUACAUACAUAUAUUUCUUUAGUUUUCUCUUUUAACUAUUAUACAUAUACAUUGAAAAAGAUUUACAAAAAGAAGAAGAAGAAAAAAGCGCACCUUUUCAACUUCCUGGCUAUUGCGGACGGCGGCGCCGUCGCCGGUGACAGGCGGCCUGCGCAGCGGUGGUCGGCCGGAUCUCUGACCGGCAUCUGGAAAGGGGAGAGAGGGCUUGAGAGAAUUUUAGGUUUUUUUUUAAAUAAAAGGCAGAAAAUGAAAUUUUUAAGAAAAAUUUGAUUUAUCUAGGCAUUCAAAACGGCACCGUUUUGGGCAUGCCUCUCAGGCACCAAAACGAUGCCGUUUUGCCUUUAAACCCGAUCCAAUCGACCCGACCCACUCCAAGAUCCGCGUGUUUUUUCUGUCAUGGGAUAUUUGCACCUUUGGCCCCUUCGCAUUUUCGAUUCGUUUCGAUUUUGUCCUUUUGGUUAUUUAUCUAUUUUAUAAAUUUGGCCCCGUUGUUUUGUCCGAUUUUUAAUCAGGUCCCUGACCUAUUUUCGCGCAGAAAAACGGACACGUGUCCAGAUUUUUUUUACCCAUUUGGUCCUUAGACUUUUGCGUUGUCCUUGUUUUAACCCUCAUUUAUUUAUUUUGUUGUAAUUUUACUCUUAAACUUCGUUUUAUUGUGAUUCGGUCCUUAAUUUACUAAUUUCUUUUAAUCCUACAUUUUGGUUAUUUAUUUAUUUGUUUUAAGUUUAUAUAUAUUAUUAUUUUAUAUAUUAUUAUCUAUGUUAAAUUGUUUAAUAUUAUUAAUUUCAAAUUGUCUCAUACAUUUUUAUAAUAUGUAUAUACACGUACAUACUUUUUAUUUAUUAAAUAUUUUUUUAUAUUCCAUAUUUUUAUACACACAUGUAUACGUAUAAAUAUCUAUGUUUUAAUUCAUAUACAUAUAUAUGUACAUAUACAUAUUUAUGUGUUUUAUGUAUAUAUUAUAAUUUGUUUACAUAUCUAUAUAUAUUUUUUUAUAUUUCAUGAUAGUUAUAUGUAUAUGUGCACAUGUUUACUUAUAUAUAUAUUUUAUAUAAUAAUUUUAGAAUACAUAUAUAUAUUUUUCAUGUUUUUAUAAAUUCAUGUGCAUACACCUGUUUUUACAACAUACAUACUUAUAAUUCAUAUAUUUUUUGUAUUCUAUAAUCUACAUAUGUAUACAUGUAAAUACUUAUAUUUUUAUAUCUUAUAAUGCAUAUAUACAUCUUUUAUAUUUCCAUAAUUUCAUGUACAUACAUAUAUAUUUCCCUUAUAUGUACAUACGUGUCCAUAUUUUAUAAUUUUUAUCUAUAUUCCUUUAUUAUUUUUAUGUUCAUUUAUGUAUUUAUUUAUAUGUCCAUUUUUAUGCUUUAGUUUAUUUAUUUAUUUAUUUACUAUGGUAUAUGCAUGAUCGAUUUAUUUUAUUAUUCGUUUUUUGUUCAUUUUUUUAUUCACAUUAUCAUGUUUAUUAUUCCAUUAUGCAUAUAAAUAUCAUAUUUCAAAAAAGGAAAUUUUUUCAAAUAAGGCAAUGUUUUGCGUUUGGAAAUUCGAGAAAACAUGCCCUAAGGUGUUGGGUGUCGAUUUUUCUCGUUCAACCAAAUGGUUAAAUAUCCUUUUAAAAUUUUUAAAAUAAGGCAAUAUUUUGCGUUUGGAAAUUCGAGAAAACGUGCCCUAAGGUGCUGGGUGUCGAUUUUUCUCGUUCAACCAAAUGGCUUAAUAUCCUUUUAAAAAUUUCAAAAUAAGGCAAUGUUUUGCGUUUGGAAAUUCGAGAAACGUGCCCUAAUGUGCUGAGUUUCGAUUUCUCGUUUAACCAAAUUGCCAAAUAUCCUCUUGAAUUUUAAUCCAUGCCAUUCGAGUUUUUUUAAGGAUCGUAUUUUAAAUUUCUUUAAAGUUUUCAAUUUUUCGACAUUAAGACUUUAAGUAAUCAACUAGGUACCAAUUUUGGGCGUAUUGAGGGUGCUAAUCCUUCCUCGUGCGUAACUGACUCCCGAACCUGUUUUUCUGAAUUUCGUAGACCAAAAUCGUUGUAUUAAUAAAAUCAAAUCGUUUAUUAAAAACAACCACUUUUAGAAAUAUGUAAAAAAAUCAAAUCGUUGUAUUAUUAAUAUUUUUUUAUGUAAAAAAAUUCAUUUGUUGAAUAUAUAUUAAUAUAUUGAAUAUUUUAAAUCGAUAUGAUAAAGAUACCAGAUCGAUUUGAAAAUUUAUGCAUGACAAGUAUAAUUAUAUUGAUGAAUUCAACGAUUAAGUCAUUAAAAUAUUAAUCAUAUAAAUAAUUAUAGAAAUAUGUAAAAUUACUUUAAGUUUUACUGUUUAUAAGUAUAUCCCUCCCACGAUUAUAUAAAGCAUUAAAUAAAUUGACAAGGAAACAAGGAGAAAGGAAAUAAAACAAGUUGAAUAAUACAAGUCUUUUAAUGUCCUUUAAAGAUGCAAUAACCCCUCAAAAGAAAACACUUGAUAGAAAAGUAUUAGAUUUAUUAUUUUGUAUCAAUCUCCCCAAGGAAAUUAAAACAACAAAGCUACAGAUGAAAACACUGAUUUAUUGCAAAUAUGAGAAAUUAUAACUUUCUAAUUAGUUUUUCUACCCACUUUCUUUUAUUGAUUUAUUAUCUUUUUCAUCUUAUUAAAAUCAAACACAAACACCAUAAGAAAGAUGAGAAAGAGGGUAGAGAACAUUAAUGAUGACUUAAUUAGCGCAUUGGAAGCCAGAAGGAACGCUGAUUGAGCAACGAUUGAGAACCAAAUUAAAGGAAAGUGGGACAUUAAUGUUGAUGCCUAAGACGUUAGCUCUAAUAGCAGAGCAAAGGCAUGUAGCAGCUUUGAUUUCGAUAAGGCCACCGAGAAGGGAACAACAUGGUGUCGCUUGGGGUAAGCCAAUGGUGACAUUGACUACGCCAAGCAGAUUAGCACAUACAUCUAAUUUGAGGAUAUCAAUAGGGCAACUGCCUUGUGCAGAUGGAGAGGGGGCGAGGUUAGAGCCGGAGGAAGAGGAGGAUGGAAAAGUAGCACUGACUAGGGAAAAGAAGAGAAUGAUAAGUGCCAAAAGGAGGGUCAUGGAAGCUGAUCGUUUUGAAGCCAUUUUAAGCUGGCAAUUGGUUUCUUUGCUUUAGAGUUAAAAAGUAGAAGUGUUUGAGGAUGGAGAACUUGGAGGGAAGGAAUGGGGUUUUAUAAUGUUUCCAACAAGACUAGUGGGUUGUUUUUUAAAUGUUAGGUUAAUUGAUCAAAUUAUGAAAAAAAAAUGAAUUUAAUUUUUUCUCUUACCCAAUAUUCAACAUUUAUUGGUAAUAAUAUUACUUUGUUUAAUUUAAAUUUAGAUAAAUAUCCCCACUAUUCUAUUUUCUUGCAAAAUAUAAGGAUAAUAAUGACAACUGACGAACGGCUAAGUACAGGAAAAAUGGAUUGUAGAUUCAAAACAACAUAAUUAAUCUCUCAUCGUCAAACCUUUCUUGUUCUUCUUCUUCAGCCAUUACCCUCUAAAGAGAUUUAUUGAACUUCAUUCACAUUAAACUCGUAAUGUAUUCAACUACCCAAUGCAGUAAUAAACUUGCUACAAUACGCUAAUGGAUCCAAAACCACAUUAAAUAAUGGUUUAUAUUUUAGAACAUUUAGGCUUGGCUUGUUUACAUGUAAAAGGUUUUACGAAAAAUAUUUUAUGCAGUUUUUCUGUGUUUAUUUUAUAGAAAAUAGCUUGAUAUACAUAAAAUGACUUACAAAUCACCGUAAAAUAAGCUUAUUUUUCCUCUGAAAUAACUUACCAUUUUUUUCAUUUCUUAAGGUAUCUAUUGGAGCAAACCCAAUAACUAAUUCUACACAUUUUUUAAGGGCCCAUUAAGUAGUAGAUGUUGGCCACAAGUUUUAAAACUGCUCCAUACUCAGGGCGAGAAUUGAACAUUCAACUAUUGGUUAAAGUUGUACAGCCCAAAUUUACCCGGGCUCGCACCAAGGCCCAAAACCCAAAAUAACAAACCACCUAAACCCAAACCACUUAAACCCAAAACCCAAUUACAAAGCCCAAAAUUUAAAGCCCAACUACCCAAAUCAGAAAACAACCAAAAAAAAAAAGGUAACCCUAACCCUAGGUGCGCCGCACCUAGGGUCAUCCACUUGCUUCUGCCGCUGCAUGCCCCAUCACCACCUGCACUGGUAGCCGUCGCCGCCACUGUCACGUCGGCCGCCACCAUCAAUUACCUGCAAACGCACAACAAAAGAGAACCAAGCAGAAAAACAAAAAAUAGGAAAAUUUUGUAACAUUGGCUAUAAAAGCCAAAUCUAAUGCUUGUAAAUGGGGGCUCUUUUUCUUUCCUUUUUGUAACAUUUUGACAGGAAUAAAAGCAAAAAAAUCAAAGGUGAUAUCGGGUGUCCCUUUAUUUUGUUGUUUCAACUCCUUUUUAUUUUAUUUUUGUUUAUUUAUUUGUAUAUAUAUAUAAUAAAGAAAAAAAGGGAAAGCUCACCGGGGAUAGGGCUUCGAACGCCGUUCUGGCGUUUCGUCGGCCGUUGGAGGUGGUGGCGGUGCGGCGAGCAGAGAGGCGGCACGACAGGGGCCUUAGAACCCCAAAAGUCAGGCUUAUUGAGAAAAAAAGAGGGUUUUUCGGAAAAUUUUUUUAAAAGGUGCGGCUGAAAUGGGUUUUUUGGGAAAAAUUUGGGUUUAAAUACCCUAAAUUAAACGGCACUAUUUUGCCCUUAGGGGUCAGGUGCCAAAACGACGCUGUUUUGGCCCUGACCCGCUCGGUGACCUGACCCUAAGGGGAGGAUCCGCGUGUUUUCUUAAAAUGGGAUAUUUACGCGCGCAGUCCCUCUGACUUUGCAAAGCGUUGCAAUUUGGCCCUUUUUCGUUAUUUUCUUUUAUUUUAAUUUAGCCACAAUGUUUUAUUUUUGUUUCAAUUUGGUCCACUGAAGCCUUGCGUUUUGGGACUUUGGUUUAUUUACUGUUUUCGGUCCCCCUCUUUCGGCGUGUGUCACAAUUUAGUCCUUUUCGUCUUUUUAUUUCGAAUUCGCCCAGUAUUUUUGUUUUUACUUUGAUUUAGCCCUUUUUAGCAAUUUUAUUAUUUUGUUCAUUGCUUGCUUGUUGCUUCGGUCUUGAAGACAACAUCCCAUUAUUCAAAGCAGUUUUGUAAAUCGUGAGCUCCCCCUUGAGCUCUUCAAUUUCUUUCUUCAUGGCUAACACCAUAUCCUCAAGAUUAUUAUCCCUCUCUGCCAGCUAUUUCGUAGUGGAAUUGACUAAUUCAAUAAUCUUUUUCACAUUGCCACCGAAAGAAUCCAACAUAAAAUCUCUGAGUUGCUCUUCCAUUGAGUUAAUCCCAUCUGUGCGUUCCUCGACCAACUCAAGCAUCUCCUUCAUGUUCCCUACGAACUCCUCGAGAUUAACCACUCGAUUUUCUAAAGCUGUUAGUAUGUCCCUCGAACGACUUAUUUUUCUGGCCCUUUUACGAGUCUACAUUGGCUCAUUCUGAUCAACAACUUCUUUCGACAUCCCAAUGGUGCAUUUGAACCAAUAGCUCGGAUACCACUUGUCACGGGGCUAGAUCUUUCUUCUCGUAAUUCAUGUGGCCUUAGCGAUCCGUUCUCUCCAAAAUCGCCUAAGUCAGCCUUUACUCCCAAAAGUGAGGAUUCCUUUAGAAUUCCUCUAAGGCACCAAUUUGUAUAGCAGAAGCGAUUGUGCUAAAAGAAGCUACAGAUGAACAAUAGAAAGCCAAAGAAAGAAUGCACACAAAGCGUUUGAGUAAAUGCUCAAAGAAUUUUAUUACUCUUAAGAAUUCAACAUACAAUGGAUGAUAUACAGAUGAUGGGGAGGCUCUCUAUUUAUAGUUGAGCUCCCCCAAAAUUGGCGGUUAAAAUCAAAUUACAUCGACGGACAAUAUUAGUCUAUCCCUUGAUUUUAGGGAUUUGCAAGAUUACAUUAUAUCAAAUCAAAUCUAUAAGAUAUGAUUCCCCUACUUACUAAAAAUAGCCUAAGUCGCCAUAUCUUCAUUAUCGGGCCAACCAGGCUUCUCUAAAAGUUCUUUGAAUCGGGCCAGUUCUCGUGGGCUAAAUGUUCCUCAUCUAAUCGAUAGACCUCCAUGGGGCGCAUCUUGUGCCAUGGUCACGGGCUUUGCACUUUGGCCCGUGACACUAGAAAGUGGUGAUUCCAAUAACUACUAUGCUUUAAAUAUUAGACUGGAAAAUUUUAUGUGUACUGUAUUUUAAAUGUUAGGUUGAAAUUGUUAAGCUAGAACUAAACUAGUACAGUUCUAUGCUAUAAAUGUUAGGUUGGAAAAUGUUAGGCAUCCUAUGUUUUAAAUGUUAGGUUGAAUUGUUAGUCUAGAAGUAGAGGUGAGCGAUCGACCGAAUCGAAUCAAAUUGAAUGAAAAUUUUCGAAUUAAUCGAAUUAACAAAUCUUAUUUUGUCAUCUUAACUCAAUUUGAAAUUUUCUCAAAUCGAGUCAAGUGAGAUGAAAUUCAAAUCAAAUCGAAUAUAUUUGUUCAAGUUAAAUUAAAAAAUAUGAAAUUGAUACCAACAAAAAAGUUUAACACGAAUAUUUUAUAGCAUCAUCAAUAAAUUAAUUUUAACAAAAAUUGAUAAAGAUUCAGCAUGAUUAAACAAUUUAAUAAUAUAAAUAGUAAAAAUGUGAAAUUUAAUUUAAUAAUAUAAAUAGUAGACAUAAAUUUUUUUUAAAAAGUUUUUGGGUGUUUAGGAAAAAGUAAAAAUUUAAGAGGAAAAGCAAAAGGAAAAAAAGUUUAUGGGGUUUGGAGGAAGUAAAAGUUUUGGGAAAAAAAUAAAAGGAAAAAAGUGUGGGGGUAGGGGUGAGCAAAACUCGAUUCGAUUCGAAAAAAUCGAAAAAAAUUUGAAUUUCGAGUUAAACGAAUCGAGUUAUUCGAGUUAAUCGAGUUAUUCGAAUCAACUCGAAUUUUUUUUCGAAUUUCGAGUUCGAAUCGAGUUGAGUUUUCGAAUUCGAAUAACUCGAAUAAUUCGAAUAAUUCGAAUAUCAAACUAUAAUAUUUGACAGUUUUACCCUAAACUCCCAAACCUUUUUACUUUUCCCUCAAAACUUUUACUCCUUCCUACUUUCCCCCCAAAACUUUUACUCCCCUCCCCUCCCAACCCCCCAAUCUACCCAAAAUCUAUUUCCCAUCAAAAUUUUACUCCCAAAACCCUCAAAACCUUUUAUUUUCUCCCAAAAUUUUUACUCCUUCCCACUUUUUCCCUAAAACUUUUAUUCCCUUCCCAUCCCACCUCCCACCUCCCACCUACCCCAAACCCUCCCCCCUCCAAUUUUUUUUUAAUAUUUUCCCUCCAAAAUUUUACUCCCCCUAUUUACUUUCCCUCAAACUUUUAUUCCUCAAAACUUUUUAUUUUCCCCCUAAACUUUUACUUAUCACCCUUUACUCUCAAAUAAAAAAUCAAAAUUAUCCAAAAAAAAUCACUAAACAUAAAUAGUAAUAAUUUUAUUUAUAUUUACUAUUUAUAUUAUUAAAUUAAAUUUCACAUUUUAUAUUAUUUAUAUUAUUGAAUUGUUUAGUCAUAUUGAAUAUUUAUAUUAAAAUUGAAUUAUUAAUUAUGCCACAAAAUAUUCGUGUUAAAAUUUUAUAUUAGUAUCAAUUUCACAUUUUAUUUUUAAAAUAAAUUUUAUUAAAAAAUCAUAUUUUUACAUUUAAUAUAUUUUUUAAUUCCAAAAUACAUAGUGACAAGAAUCUGAAGAUAAUUGAAACAACUAAGCAAGCAAAGAAGCUAAUCAGUAUAUAAAAAAUUAAUAAAUAAAUUAUGAGGUGAUGAAAGUUAAUAACAAAAUCGAUUAAGGUAGACAAAUUUUAUUACGAUGGGUGACAAUGGUUAUAAGGACCCAAAAUUAUUUUUUAAAAUUUAACUCGAACAAAUAUAUUCGAUUCGAUUCGAUUCGAAUUCCAUCUCACUCGACUCGAUUAGAGAAAACUUCAAAUAAAGUUAGGAUGAUAAAAUGAGAUUCGAAAACUCAAUUAACUCGAAAAUUUUUGAUUCGAUUCGAUUCGAUUCGAUCGAAUGCUCACCCAUAGUUGGGGGUUUGAGGAAAAGUAAUUUUUUUGGGAGAAAGUAAAAGGGUUUGAGGGGGGUUGGGAGAAAGGAAGUAAAAGGAUUUAGUAUUUGGUUUAUUCGAGUUAUUCGAAUUCGAAAAAUUAACUUCAUUCAAACUCGAAAUUUAAAAAAAAAUCAAGUUGAUUUGAUUAACUCAAUUGGAAUAAUUCAAAAUUCAAUUUUUUAUUUUAUUUUUUGAGUCAAAUAGAAUUUUGCUCAUCCCUAACUAGAACUAUACCAAAACAAUCACCCUAAAAUUAAAAAUUUAUUUGUUACCCUUUAAAAGGUAUAAAAUUAUAAACUAAUAAUAGUAAAAAAAAUAGUCUUUUAAGAAAUUUAUAAAGAUGUUUUAAAUGUUAGGCCAGAACUGUUAGGUUAGAACUGUAGUAAGUUUGUUGUAGAAUUGAAAUUAACGAUGCGUUAAUGCAUUAAGUUUGCAUUCAAUGAUAAUAAAUUUAUGACCUUUUCGAAACUGUACUUAAUCUCCUUUUCAUAGCGUAUAUAUAUAUAUAUAAUAUUAUGUAUGCUUUUUACAUUGUUUAUUAAGGUUUAUUACCUUUUUGAAACGGCAGUUAGUUAUGUUUUCGUACUGUAUUUAUGUUAUUUUACAACCUUUAUAAUAUCAUAAAUGAAUAUUAAAAAAUCAAGAAUUCAUAUAUAUAUAUAUAUAUAUGAAAUUAUUUAUAAUAAUUUUAUUUGUCCAAUAUUAUAGAUCUUAAACUUUAUUUUAAAUUAUUAAAUGAGUAUAUUUUAAAAGAUAUAUACAAAAAAACACAUGCAACUUAGGAGAUAAAAACUAAUAAUAAAUAUAUAUAAGUAGGAACGUAAGCAUAGAGUUAUCUAAGGGUGGGGCUACCCUUUAAGCCCGAAGGCCUGCUCAAAAUAUGGGAGGGUUUAUAUAAGAAUACAAAAUCUGAAAAAUGGACUUUGGCACAAGUUUAAACCUAUUUUUUUAUUCAAGUCAAGCUUUAGAUAGAAUCUUUUAAGCCCGAACCCGACCUAACCCUAAUACUAUAUGAAAUAUAAAUAUACUAUUUAUAUUUAUAAAAUAUAAAUAUAUAAUUUAACCCUAAACUCAAAAUCCUUCAACUAAAUCCAAUUCUCAUUCAAUAAAACUCAAACCCAAGCUAAUUCUAAACCCUACUUCGUACCCAACCUAAUAGAAGUCUAUUUUCAAUUUCAUUUUUGCCGUCAAACAUAUCUCGUAGGGCUAAGGAAAAAAAUCAAUAAACCGGUUUGAACCGAUGUAUUCGGUUUGGUUCGAUUUGGGUUGAUAUUAUCACUCGAAUCUUACAACUUAGUUUAGAUUCGGAUUUUUUUCACAUAAAACUUAUUUUAUCCGAAUUAAAUCUAAUGAAAAAAAUUAUAUAUAAAAGAAUAGUCCGAAUAGAAUAAUAAAUUGAUCAUUUCAAUGUCUAUAUGACUAAUUCAUUUAACCCUAUUAUUAUUAUUAUUAUUAUUAUUAUUAUUAUUAAAACUAGAUGUGAUUAUACAAAAAAUUAAAGUUACAAAAAUAUUUCAUAAAAAAAAAUUAUGACAGUAUACUUUUGUAUUAGAGUAAGUGAAUCAUUUCUUAAAUAUAAUAAUUAUAAGUAUAAGAAAAUAGUUUAUUAAACUUUAUAAUAUUUGAUUAAUAAAAAAUUUAUUCACAACUUGUCAAUUAUAAAUAUUUGAUAGUUAUAAAUUUAUGACAUAUUGUAAUGACUCAGUUAUAACUAAUUAAAAGAAAUGACGCAAUGGACAUUUCGUAUAUGAAUGAUUUAUAUAUUAAUUCUUCUUUUAACAACUUUAAAUAAUAUAUCAACUUAAUAAUUUAACUUAAAAUAAAUUUUUAAAUCAUCCAUAAAUCAAGAAUUAUAUAAGAUUUUUGGUACCAAUGCGAUAUUUCUUUUAGUUUUUUUGGCAAAUUGACAGCAGUAUAUAUCAUUAUUGCAUAUUUUCCAUAAAUUAUCCUCUCUCUUUUUAAUUAUGAUGUUUUUAGUUUUUUUAGUAUGAUUAACAUCUUCCAAAGAUGUCAAAUUUGAGACAGACAAUCAGACAAACAACAAGUGUUUUUUAAAUGAUGGUUUCGAUUAUGAAAGAGAAUGCUGUGGAAGAAAAAUGUUUUUUAUUUAAAUGAACUGCAGAGAGCAAAAUAAUAUUUUAAUAUUUUCUCAAAUAAGAUUCUUUAUUUUUACUCUUUUAAAAAUUUUUAAAAACAACUUAUGUAGUUAUUACAUCAAUUCAAAUCUGUUCAUGGGUCGGACCACCCGUUCAAGCUUAAAGGCUCACCAAAAAAAUAUGAAGGUUUAAACAAAAAUACAGUGCUUAAAAAAUGGGGUUGAGUCAAAUUUAAGACCCAUUUCUAUAUGGGCAAGAUUUUUUGGCUUAUGCUUGGCCCGACCCGAAUAUAUUAUGUUAUAAAAAUAAUUAUAUUAAUUAUAUUAAUUAUACAUGCUAAAUAAUAAUUAUAUGUAUUUAUAUUUAUAUUUAAUCACUAACCCAAUAACAAUUAAACCCAUUACUCAAAACCUNNNNNNNNNNNNNNNNNNNNNNNNNNNNNNNNNNNNNNNNNNNNNNNNNNNNNNNNNNNNNNNNNNNNNNNNNNNNNNNNNNNNNNNNNNNNNNNNNNNNUUAUUUGUGUUUUUAAUAUAAUAAAAUAUUAAUUAUAUUUAUGGCAGUGUUUAUUAAUAUAAAUAUUUUUUAAUGUGUUAAAAAACUUUUUAUUUUAGUGUUUUUUUAUGUAUUUAGUGCAUUACAUUAUUUAAAAAGUUUAUUUUAAAAUAAAAACUAAUGUAAAAAAAUUAAACAUGAGCAAUUGGGUCGGACUUGAAUAAAAAAAUAAGUUUAUUUUUUGGAUUAGACUAAAGUCAUAUUUAAAAAAUUAAUCUAAACCCAUCUCGAAUUCAAUCCGUCUCAUAAGUACACCUCUCCAUCAGUCCCAAUAAUUAACCAUUAAUUGUAAAAUGACAUUAUGGAAUAACAUUUGCAUACCCAUACGAUUGUCCAUUUAAUAUAAUUUUAGUAUAAAGUUUUCACCUAUUAAUUGAUGAAUAAUUUGUAUGUUAAGUUUAUUGUUUUAAUGAAUAAAAUGGUAUAAUAAAUUACGUUAAAUAUAUUUAAUAUACUAAAUUAUAUGAUUUAUUUUAUCGCCGAGAUAUGAUUAUGUAUUAAUAAAAAAUUAUUUUCACAGGUAUUUAUAAUAUAAUUUUGAAACAAUCUCGUUAUAGAUUCUGAUCAUGACUGUUCUCUUUUAAGAUAAUGCCUAAACUUCAACACACUCAAACUCACGUCCUCCUGCAUAGACAACAAUACCCGUGCCAAUCGAGUUAAAACUCAAUCCACAAUUUAAAAAAAAAAACUUGAACAUAUAACUAUCAGUCUCCAAAUUUAAAUCAAAUUUGAAUUUUAUAUACCUACUAAUUUUUUCUUUUAAAAAAUGAAUUGCUCAAAAUAAAUAAAAAAUAGAUUUAAUUUCAUAAAUACAUUUUCACAUCAACACUAAACAUUAUUUUUUAUUCACAUAAAUACAAUUAAUAUAAAUGGAAUAAUUUAUCUAUUUUUAAAUAUAAAAAAUAACCAACGUUAAUGUAUUGAAUUGGGUGGAAAUGGAAAUGUUAACAGAAAGUGGAAGGAAUGAUUGCCUUUUGGUGCAGUAAUGUCUUUUUUUAGUUUCAAAUGCUUACAUCUGAUUCAACAAAUCCUGAGUCACGGACUCAAAAAAUGUGCUUUCUAUUUUUUAAUGAGUUUCCAUUUCGGAUUUGAAAAUUAUAAGAAUGAAGGAGAUAUUUUGCGGGAUGAAAAUAAAAUAAAAAAUUCCCAACUUUACUUAUUUAUAAUUAGAUAUAAAAUUCAUUGCCAUAAUUAGCUGUAGACAUCAUAUAAAUAAUUUGACGAGGAAUCAAGAAGAACGGAUUGAAUAAUACAAGCUUUUUCAUGUCCUUUAGAGAUAUAAUAAACACUCAAAGAAAAACACUUUGAAGAAAAAUAUUAUUCUGUAUCAAUUCUCCCAAGGAAAUUAAAGCAACAAUGAUACAAACUAAAACAAUGGAGUUAUGACAUCAUAACUUUAUAAAAAAACCAAACACACAAACACCAUAAGGAAGUUGAGAAAGAAUGGAGGGAAAAGUGAUGACUUAAUUAGCAUUGGAACCCAGUUGGAACAUUCCUUGAACAAACGUUGAGGAGCAAGCUAAGAGAAACAGGGAUAUUAAGGUUGAUGCCUAAGAUGUUAGCUCUAAUAGCAGUGCAAAGGCAAGCAGCAGCUUCGAGGUCGACAAGGCCAUUGAGAAGGGAACAGCAUGGCAUCACUGGAGGUGAACCAACGGUGACAUUGACUAAGUUAAGCACAUUGGCACAUACACCUAAUUUGAGGGCAUCUCUAGGGCACCUGCCUCGUGCGGAUGGAGUAGGGGUGGGGGUGUUGGGGUUUGGGUUUGGCCUUGGUUUAGGGGUGGGUGAAGAGCA
rnacentral:lncRNA from 1 species